UACGUAGGUGACCAGCGUUGUCCGGAUUUACUGGGCGUAAAGAGCGCGCAGGCGGUCGUUCAAGUCGCGUGUGAAAGCCCCCGGCUCAACUGGGGGAGGGUCACGCGAUACGGGCGGACUGGAGGCCAGUAGGGGGAUGCGGAAUUCCGGGUGUAGUGGUGGAAUGCGUAGAGAUCCGGAGGAACACCAGCGGCGAAGGCGGCAUCCUGGACUGGUCCUGACACUCAGGAGCGAAAGCGUGGGGAGCGAGUCCGG
rnacentral:rRNA from 1 species